rnacentral:rRNA from 1 species
GAUGAACGCUGGCGGCGUGCUUAACACAUGCAAGUCGAACGGAAAGGCCCAAGCUUGCUUGGGUACUCGAGUGGCGAACGGGUGAGUAACACGUGGGUGAUCUGCCCUGCACUUCGGGAUAAGCCUGGGAAACUGGGUCUAAUACCGGAUAGGACCACUUCUUGGAUGUUGUGGUGGAAAGUUUUUUCGGUGUGGGAUGAGCUCGCGGCCUAUCAGCUUGUUGGUGGGGUAAUGGCCUACCAAGGCGUCGACGGGUAGCCGGCCUGAGAGGGUGUACGGCCACAUUGGGACUGAGAUACGGCCCAGACUCCUACGGGAGGCAGCAGUGGGGAAUAUUGCACAAUGGGCGCAAGCCUGAUGCAGCGACGCCGCGUGGGGGAUGACGGCCUUCGGGUUGUAAACUCAUUUCGCUAGGGACGAAGCGUUUUGUGACGGUACCUGGAGAAGAAGCACCGGCUAACUACGUG